rnacentral:rRNA from 1 species
CCUACGGGAGGCAGCAGUAAGGAAUAUUGGUCAAUGGACGAAAGUCUGAACCAGCCAUGCCGCGUGAAGGAUGAAGGCCCUCUGGGUUGUAAACUUCUUUUAUCUGGGACGAAAAAAGCUCAUUCUUGAGCACUUGACGGUACCAGAGGAAUAAGCACCGGCUAACUCCGUGCCAGCAGCCGCGGUAAUACGGAGGGUGCAAGCGUUAUCCGGGAUUCACUGGGUUUAAAGGGUGCGUAGGUGGGUCUGUAAGUCAGUGGUGAAAUCUCCGAGCUUAACUCGGAAACUGCCAUUGAUACUAUAGGUCUUGAAUCAUCUGGAGGUAAGCGGAAUAUGUCAUGUAGCGGUGAAAUGCUUAGAUAUGACAUAGAACACCAAUUGCGAAGGCAGCUUACUACGGGUGUAUUGACACUGAGGCACGAAAGCGUGGGGAUCAAACAGGAUUAGAUACCCUGGUAGUCCACGACCUAACGAUAGAUACUACACAUCAGCGAUACACUGUUGUGUCGUG